rnacentral:rRNA from 1 species
AUGGGUCUCUGGGAUGCCAUGUACCGCGUGGUGAUGCGCCGUAACGGCGUGUACGUCACCUUCGUCGUCGCCGGCGCCUUCGCUGGCGAGCGGCUGGUGGACUACGGCGUCAACAAGGUCUGGGAGAUGAACAACGUCGGGAAACGGUAUCAAGACAUAUCAGUUCUGGGGCAAAGGCCGGUUGAGGAGUGA